rnacentral:lncRNA from 1 species
GGAGUACUUGGUGUGCUGGAUUCAUCAUGAAUUUGGGCAGUUUCUCCCUCUUCUUCAAAUAUUUUCAUUAGUUUUUUUUCUAGCUCAUCUUUGGUUGGCUCUAGGAUUUUGCUUUUUCAUUAUGGUAAUAUAUUUUGCCAGACUAUUUGGGUUGGAGUAUGAAUGAGAGUCAUAUGCUAAUGGGAUUCGUUUAAGUUGUAUAUUGUCUGGUUCAAUAUUAUGGCAGACAAAGACGUCCCACCAUUUUAUGGCAAUUUGUUUGCCUAAACAUGGCAUGUAUUCAAACUUAUUUGUAUUAUUUGGGGAUAUCACAAAGUUCCAUUUAACGAUCCAUGGUACUUGAUAC